CUUCGACACUCUGGAAAGCGUGGCUUCCUGUGGCGGCCACCACCGAAGGGGUAAGCGGAUCUGCACAAGCGCAGUCCGCGAAAGCUCUCAGGUACCGUGACAGAGGGGGUGCC
rnacentral:ncRNA from 2 species